rnacentral:lncRNA from 1 species
GUAUGCUUAAUUGAAUACUGUUGAAAUCCUGAGAACUGUUUGCUAAUCUUGUUCCCAGAAUGUGCUGUCCCCAACUGCCAAACUGCAGAAUGCACUCCCUCACUUGGUUGCAGGCAAACUGCCCACUCGCCCUGACCAGUCAAUGAACUUCCCUCCCUGCCCUCUCCAAGAAAACUAUAUAAGCUCUGCUUAAGCUGUUCCCAGUGCUCUAUCUCUCUUUGUUCUAGUGAGCCCUGAGCCCCAGCAUGCUGGUCUCCAAAUAAACCCUUUUUGCUGUUGCAUGAGACAGUCUCUUGGUGGUCUCUUCCUCCGAUGUUUCGCUGGUCCCUUACAUUUGGUGCAUUGCCCGGGAAGUGCGCAUCGCCGGACAGGGAGACCCCAACAGACUCCUUUGGGGGGUAAGUAAGGCGCCUCUUCUUCUUCUUCUUCUUCAUCUCCUCCUUCUUCUCCUUGUUUUUCCUUUGCGAUCGCUCACAGCUUGGUUUUUGGCUCAGUGGAGAGCGUGAGCUCUCAGAGCCUUUCUGGUUUUUCAGUUUGGGUUGGCAAAGUGUGUUUGCCAGCGGAGAGCGUGAGCUCCCCCUGCCGGUGGUGGACAGACGUGUCCUGAAGCCACAGGCCACAUUCUUCAAGGGACGCCUUGAAGGACUCUGGGAGGGACGGAAGUGCCCUCAUCUGGGAUGGAAGUGCCCUCAUCUGGUAUAUUCUGCUGCCAACCCGUCUGUUCUUGCCGGCAAUUCUUUCUCUCAGGUUGAAUUCACUGUCUGUUUUUAAUCUUUGCCUCUGAACUUGUGUUACACGUUUACUGUGUGUGUCUGUGUUUGUGUCACGUUUGUAUUGUCCCUGUCUUUUUUCAAGUAACUUUCAUUUUCAUUUUCAAGUAACUGACCCUUGAUCACUGGACUGAAGUCCACUUAAGGACUCAGAAUCUUUCUUUUUCAGUAAAAUGCCGGACUUGGCAGACUCUCUGUGCCUUAGAAUGGCCCACCUUUGGAGCUGGAUGGCCUCCAGAAGGAUCUUUCUACUCCCCACUAAUUUGAAAAGUCAAAGAUAUUGUUUUUUAGCCGGGGCCACAUAGCCAUCCAGAUCAAC